UCUUAAGGGCGUUCGGUGGAUGCCUUGGCGACAAGAGGCGAUGAAGGACGUGAUACGCUGCGAUAAGCCAUGGGGAGCUGCGAAUAAGCUUUGAUCCGUGGAUUUCCGAAUGGGGAAACCCACUCCGUAUGGAGUACCCUUUUAUGGGAGCAAACCCGGGGAACUGAAACAUCUAAGUACCCGGAGGAAAGGACAUCAACCGAGACUCCGCUAGUAGUGGCGAGCGAACGCGGACCAGGCCAGUGGCUAUAGAGUAAGAACCGGAACCGUCUGGAAAGUCGGGCCUUAGUGGGUGAUAGCCCCGUACGGGUAGAAAACUUUAUAGUCCUCGAGUAGGGCGGGACACGUGAAAUCCUGUCUGAACGUGGGGGGACCACCCUCCAAGCCUAAGUACUCCUUGUCGACCGAUAGUGAACAAGUACCGUGAGGGAAAGGUGAAAAGUACCCCGACGAGGGGAGUGAAACAGUUCCUGAAACCGGACGCCUACAAACAGUUGGAGCCCGCAAGGGUGACAGCGUACCUUUUGUAUAAUGGGUCAGCGACUUAAUUUAACGAGCAAGCUUAAGCCGGUAGGUGUAGGCGCAGCGAAAGCGAGUCUGAAUAGGGCGUUUUAGUUCGUUGGAUUAGACCCGAAACCGAGUGAUCUAGCCAUGGCCAGGUUGAAGGUGCGGUAACACGCACUGGAGGACCGAACCCACGCCUGUUGAAAAAGGCGGGGAUGAGCUGUGGCUAGGGGUGAAAGGCCAAUCAAACUCGGAAAUAGCUGGUUCUCCGCGAAAUCUAUUUAGGUAGAGCGUCGGAUGAAUACUCUCGGGGGUAGAGCACUGGAUGGGCUAUGGGGGCUUACCGCCUUACUGAUCCUAACCAAACUCCGAAUACCGAGAAGUACUAUCCGGCAGACACACAGUGGGUGCUAACGUCCAUUGUGGAGAGGGAAACAACCCUGACCGCCAGUUAAGGUCCCUAAGUUAUGGCUAAGUGGGAAAGGAUGUAGAACUCCCAAAACAACCAGGAUGUUGGCUUAGAAGCAGCCAUCAUUUAAAGAAAGCGUAACAGCUCACUGGUCUAAAUAAGGGGUUCCGCGCCGAAAAUGUACCGGGGCUCAAGCCAUACACCGAAACUGCGGGUGCAUCUUUAAGAUGCGCGGUAGCGGAGCGUUCUGUAAGUCUGCGAAGGGGGACCCGCGAGGGCUCCUGGAGAUAUCAGAAGUGCGAAUGCUGACAUGAGUAACGAUAAAGAGUGUGAGAGACACUCUCGCCGAAAGUCCAAGGGUUCCUGCGCAACGCUAAUCGGCGCAGGGUUAGCCGGCCCCUAAGGCGAGGCCGAAAGGCGUAGUCGAUGGGAAUGCAGUUAAUAUUCUGCAGCUUGUGGG
rnacentral:rRNA from 2 species